rnacentral:rRNA from 1 species
UACGGAGGGAGCUAGCGUUGUUCGGAUAUACUGGGCGUAAAGCGCACGUAGGUGGCGCAGCAAGUCAGGGGUGAAAUCCCGGAGCUCAACUCCGGAACUGCCUUUAAGACUGCAUCGCUUGAAUCCGGGAGAGGUGAGUGGAAUUCCGAGUGUAGAGGUGAAAUUCGUAGAUAUUCGGAAGAACACCAGUGGCGAAGGCGGCUCACUGGACCGGUAUUGACGCUGAGGUGCGAAAGCGUGGGGAGCAAACAGG